rnacentral:tRNA from 1 species
CCUCUCAUGGCGUAGUGGUUUACGCGCCCCAACUAGAGAUCGGGGAGUCGUGAGUUCGAUUCUCACUGAGAAGA